AAAGAAGCCUAGAGCUGUGGUUUGGGAACCGGAUGGUUUCCUCACUAACUAUUCCCCCCCUCCAAAAUAUCGUAGAAAGUGGACGGGCCCAGUUGGAAGCACAUCACGAAGCCCAUAGGGGAAGCCAUGUCGGAUAAAGGAACUGGAAACCACCUUUUUAUUAAGUUUACACCACUAUUACCACCUCCCACCUCAGCCAAAGUUUUAAGUCCUUUUUCAAUAGCCUGAAUGUUGAUGUAAGUAGAGAAGAAAGCCCAUAGAGGUUCCUGCUCUUCGGUAAAUUGGAGGUCUCAGCUGAGAAAAAAAGUUUUCAAUAAAUGCUUUCAUGCGCA
rnacentral:lncRNA from 1 species